rnacentral:rRNA from 1 species
GAUGAACGCUGGCGGCGUGCCUAAUACAUGCAAGUCGAGCGAACGGACGAGAAGCUUGCUUCUCUGAUGUUAGCGGCGGACGGGUGAGUAACACGUGGUUAACCUACCUAUAAGACUGGGAUAACUUCGGGAAACCGGAGCUAAUACCGGAUAAUAUUUUGAACCGCAUGGUUCAAAAGUGAAAGCCGGUCUUGCUGUCACUUAUAGAUGGAUCCGCGCUGCAUUAGCUAGUUGGUAAGGUAACGGCUUACCAAGGCAACGAUGCAUAGCCGACCUGAGAGGGUGAUCGGCCACACUGGAACUGAGACACGGUCCAGACUCCUACGGGAGGCAUCAGUAGGGAAUCUUCCGCAAUGGGCGAAAGCCUGACGGAGCAACGCCGCGUGAGUGAUGAAGGUCUUCGGAUCGUAAAACUCUGUUAUUAGGGAAGAACAUAUGUGUAAGUAACUGUGCACAUCUUGACGGUACCUAAUCAGAAAGCCACGGCUAACUACGUG